rnacentral:rRNA from 1 species
UACGUAGGGUGCGAGCGUUAAUCGGAAUUACUGGGCGUAAAGCGCACGUAGGCGGACCAGCAAGUUAGGGGUGAAAUCCCGGGGCUCAACCCCGGAACUGCCUUUAAAACUGUUGGUCUGGAGGUCGAGAGAGGUGAGUGGAAUUCCGAGUGUAGAGGUGAAAUUCGUAGAUAUUCGGAGGAACACCAGUGGCGAAGGCGGCUCACUGGCUCGAUACUGACGCUGAGGUGCGAAAGCGUGGGGAGCAAACAGG